rnacentral:ncRNA from 1 species
GCCCCAGUGAAAAUGCCCUACAGUCCCCCGCCAGGGGACAAGGAGCUGGUAUCAGGCACAUUCUUUAGCCCACGACACCUUGCUUAGCCACACCCCCAAGGGAAUUCAGCAGUGAUAGACAUUAAGCCAUAAGUGAAAACUUGACCUAGUUACAGAUAAGAGGGCCGGUAAAACUCGUGCCAGCCACCGCGGUUAUACGGGUUAGCCCAAGUUGACAGCCCACGGCGUAAAGCGUGGUUAGGGGAAUUUAAAUACUAAAGCCGAAUUAUCCUUCAGCUGUUAUACGCUCGCAGGAAAGAGAAGUUCAACUACGAAAGUGGCUUUACUAAAAUAUACCUGAAUCCACGAAAGUUCUGAUACAAACUGGGAUUAGAUACCCCACUAUGCCUUACCAUAAACAUUGAUAGAUUUAGUCACAUUUACUAUCCGCCUGGGUACUACAAGCACCAGCUUCAAACCCAAAGGACUUGGCGGUGCUUUAGACCCCUCUAGAGGAGCCUGUUCUAGAACCGAUAACCCCCGUUAAACCUCACCUUUCCUUGUACCCCCCGCCUAUAUAUCUCCGUCGCCAGCUUACCCUGUGAAGGCCUUAUAGUAAGUAUAACCGGUGAAUACCACCCCAAACGUCAGGUCGAGAUGUAGCGCAUGGGAAGGGAAGAAAUGGGCUACAUUACCUAGACAUAGCGUAACACGAAUGAUAACUUGAAACACUUAUCUGAAGGAGGAUUUAGUAGUAAGUAGAAAAUAGAGUGUUCUACUGAAACCGGCUCUGAAGCGCGCACACACCGCCCGUCACUCUCCCCGAGCUAAACUGUCAAUAUAAUUAAACUACUAAUAUUGCACGAGGGGAGGCAAGUCGUAACAUGGUAAGUGUACCGGAAGGUGCACUUGGCUUAACAC